AGAGUUUGAUCCUGGCUCAGAUUGAACGCUGGCGGCAUGCUUUACACAUGCAAGUCGAACGGCAGCGGGGGUGCUUGCACCUGCCGGCGAGUGGCGAACGGGUGAGUAAUUCAUCGGAACGUAUCCUUAAGUGGGGAAUAACGCAUCGAAAGAUGUGCUAAUACCGCAUAGUCUUUUACAAGUAAAGCAGGGGAUCGAAAGACCUUGCGCUUGAGGAGCGGCCGAUGUCUGAUUAGCUAGUUGGUGGGGUAAAGGCCUACCAAGGCGACGAUCAGUAGUUGGUCUGAGAGGACGACCAACCACACUGGGACUGAGACACGGCCCAGACUCCUACGGGAGGCAGCAGUGGGGAAUUUUGGACAAUGGGCGAAAGCCUGAUCCAGCCAUGCCGCGUGAGUGAAGAAGGCCUUCGGGUUGUAAAGCUCUUUCAGUCGGAAAGAAACGAUUGCAACUAAUAAUUGUAAUUAAUGACGGUACCGACAGAAGAAGCACCGGCUAACUACGUGCCAGCAGCCGCGGUUAAUA
rnacentral:rRNA from 1 species